rnacentral:rRNA from 1 species
UACGUAGGUGGCAAGCGUUGUCCGGAUUUACUGGGCGUAAAGGGCGCGCAGGCGGCCCUCCAAGUCAGGCGUGAAAGCCCCGGGCUCAACCCGGGAACAGCGCUUGAUACUGAAGAUCUUGAGUCCGGGAGAGGUGAGUGGAACUGCGAGUGUAGAGGUGAAAUUCGUAGAUAUUCGCAAGAACACCAGUGGCGAAGGCGGCUCACUGGCCCGGUACUGACGCUGAGGCACGAAAGCGUGGGGAGCAAACAGG